rnacentral:sRNA from 1 species
UAUUUGCAUUUGCAUUUGCAUAUUUCUGCGGUUAUUUCAGUUUUCUUAAAAAAAUAUGUAUAGUAUGUGUGGUGUAUGCAUAAACUUAUUUCAAUAAAUCAUCCGAUCCUGUAUCCUGUAUCCUGUUUGUGUCUCCUGUUCAGCCUCAGCCUUCGCUUCGAUUCGUUUCAUUUCGUUUCGGUUCACUGCUGGAGGAUCUGCUGGGCUCUGGUUUCUGGUAUCUGGGAUCUCUUCUCUUGUAAAUAAAGGAAAUGUGGCCCUAUCCUAUGGUUGUUUUGAUGGACAAUAUUGGUGGAGAGAUUGACAAUCAAUUCAAUUACAAAUACAUUUUAUAAAUACAUAAAUUGUAAGUUCGCGUAUCGUAUGCUGUGUUAUAGAUUAUACAAAAAUAAAACAGAUUAUCUUUUGAUUUUUCGUCGAGUUGAAUAGAACCUUGUUAAUAUCAUCAUAUUAUAAAAUGCACAUUACAAAAAUAUUAACAAAAUUUAUUGCAGGCAGUCCGUAGUUAGUAUAAAGGUAACAAACAAAUCCGAAUUCAGGACAAACACAUAAAACUCCUUCUUCCUACAUAUAGUCCACUCAAGCACUGCUGCUGCUACUGGCGUACUGGCUACUCGAUACUGGCCGGGAUGUCUAGGACUGCUGGGGGGUAGAAGAGUAAACUUUAUGCUCUAAUUGUGGUUGU